UCUGAUGUUGCUUAUUGUAUCCAUUUAUUAUUUUAGUCCUUAUAUUGCUCACUUGCUCUAAUACAUGUGUGUAUAGAUAGAGGGAGAAAGAGUUUCUUCUGACGCUUGUGUAAGUUAAUUGCUCCAUACUGAUAACAAUCCGAGCCUUAAACCAAAACCAAGUUUAAGAUUUUCUUUGUGAGAUUAAAGUUUAUCUAGAUGCACUCGUAAUGAUGAUGGUUUUCUCUUCUCUUUUUUUGGGUGUGGAUGUUAUGGUGUUUUUUGCUGCCUUAUGGUCUUACCAUAACACUAAUUUUAUCAAUUGACCACGUUGGGUGGUUUUUUUGUUAUAUAUUCACUUAUCCAUAUUAAUUCAGUUAGUAAUUUACUAGAGUUGUCUUUUAUUUCUUCUUAUCCAUAUUAAUUCACUUAUCCAUAUAUUCUAACACUGGACCAUCAUGUGUGAACCUCACUCGCUCCUACAUAGACAGAUGAUGAUGCAUUAUUACGCACAAUCUGUGUAGAGUACAAUAACACAAACAACUUAUGGAAAGCCAAAUGCACACUAUAAGACUUGAAUGCAAGUCUACAGGAAAGUCAAAACUAGUGUAGUAUUACCAUGUUAAUCCCUUAAUUUCUUAUUGUUUAAAAAGGGCACUUGUUAGAAUGGGCCCAUUAAUUAUAUCUUAAAUUACCACUCGAAAUUGCGAAACUUCCACUUUUACUUGAAGUUAAAAUUUAUGCUCUACGCUAUAAAUAUUCUAAUAUAAUUUAAUAUAUUUUUNNNNNNNNNNNNNNNNNNNNNNN
rnacentral:lncRNA from 1 species